CUUUUUGCUUCAAGUUUGAGUUUGCUUCUUAGAGCUAUAGACUACCCACCAUCUUGUAAACUGCACAAAACUAAACACAGCUUUAGCCAUCACUUGGCAGCCAUUAUGACGUCACUUGGAAAAUAAAAUUCACGUGAGCUUACCGUUGGCGUCGCGACUGCAAAAAGACAGCACACUACACCUCUGUACUUUAUUACAUUCCACUCGUCUUUCUUCCAUUCCUUCUAUGGCUUCUCUUCUAAUUCAACCAAUCAACUUCACUAAAAUGAAAAAGCACACAGUGAUACUAGGUCAUCUUGCUCCAGUGUUUUGUCUCUCAUUUGAUUCAACUGGUCAAAGGAUCAUUACUUGAUAAACCAGUUAAAUUUAUGGAGAAGAACAGGGUCUGUGAUCAAACUCUCUGCUAAGCUUUUAGUCCUGAGUAAAGGUCACAUUAAUCACAGUGUUACUUCAUUACCUGAUAAUAACUGGUGAUCUACUGCCUCCUCUAUACACUGCAGUCAUGAGUCCAUACCUCAUCAAAGAAGUAUCAGACAGAGCCCGUGAUAAUUAUUAAUAAUAAUAUUAUAUUGUCUUUUUUUCUGAGUAACAGCAUGUUAUUAGUCUACUACUUUAUUUAAUCUUUUAUUUUGCAAUUUUAA
rnacentral:lncRNA from 1 species